rnacentral:misc_RNA from 1 species
AACUUUUGGCAAUGGAUCUCUUGGCUCUCGCAUCGAUGUAGAACGCAGCGAAACGCGAAAUGUAAUGUGAAUUGCAGAAGUAUAGUGAAUCAUCGAAUCUUUGAACGCAUCUUGCGCCCGGUGGUAUUCCGCCGGGCAUGUCUGUCUGAGUGUCAUUACUAUCUCAACCCUAGCCAUGUUUGUCAUGACGUGGCGGUGUGGAUUGGAACGUGGACUUGGCAGGGGUUCGCACUGCAGGUCUUAAAUGGAGUUAGGCUAGUCGACGAUUUUAGCGGUUGGACUGGGUGUUGUAGAGUCGCCUCACUCGGGACGCUGCUCGGAUUAGUUGAAUUGUAAUUGUCUUACUCGAGCACUUUAGACCUCAGAUCAGGCAGCAUUACCCGCUGAACUUAAGCAUAUCAAUAAGCGGAGGCU